GAGUGAGUGGCGCAGAGGUUUAGCGCGCCGGUCUUACACAUUCCCCCUUUACUCUCUGUCCGCCCAACGGGGGGUCCAAGCAGGAUGUAUGGGGACAGGGCAGGGAUGAAUGAUCGCCGGAAGCCUGGGUUCGAACCCCAGCUCACUCU
rfam:Naematelia encephala strain 68-887.2 BCR39scaffold_3, whole genome shotgun sequence.